UGGGGAAUAUUGGGCAAUGGAGGGAACUCUGACCCAGCCAUGCCGCGUGCAGGAUGAAGGCGUUAUGCGUUGUAAACUGCUUUUUAUAUAGGAAGAAAUAGUCCUUGCGAGGAAAGUUGACGGUACUAUAUGAAUAAGCACCGGCUAACUCCGUGCCAGCAGCCGCGGUAAUACGGAGGGUGCAAGCGUUGUCCGGAUUUAUUGGGUUUAAAGGGUGCGUAGGCGGUUUAUUAAGUCAGUGGUGAAAGACGGUCGCUCAACGAUUGCAGUGCCAUUGAUACUGGUAGACUUGAGUAUGAUUGAGGUAGCUGGAAUGGAUAGUGUAGCGGUGAAAUGCAUAGAUAUUAUCCAGAACACCAAUUGCGUAGGCAAGUUACUAAGUCAUAACUGACGCUGAGGCACGAAAGUGUGGGUAUCAAACAGGAUUAGAUACCCACGUAGUCCCUGAGCGGGCUGGCAAGGCGCAU
rnacentral:rRNA from 1 species